UGGGGAAUAUUGCACAAUGGGGGAAACCCUGAUGCAGCGACGCCGCGUGAAGGAAGAAGUAUCUCGGUAUGUAAACUUCUAUCAGCAGGGAAGAUAGUGACGGUACCUGACUAAGAAGCCCCGGCUAACUACGUGCCAGCAGCCGCGGUAAUACGUAGGGGGCAAGCGUUAUCCGGAUUUACUGGGUGUAAAGGGAGCGUAGACGGUGUGGCAAGUCUGAUGUGAAAGGCAUGGGCUCAACCUGUGGACUGCAUUGGAAACUGUCAUACUUGAGUGCCGGAGGGGUAAGCGGAAUUCCUAGUGUAGCGGUGAGAUGCGUAGAUAUUAGGAGGAACACCAGUGGCGAAGGCGGCUUACUGGACGGUAACUGACGUUGAGGCUCGAAAGCGUGGGGAGCAAACAGG
rnacentral:rRNA from 1 species